UACAGAGGUCCCAAGCGUUGUUCGGAUUUACUGGGCGUAAAGGGUGCGUAGGUGGUGAGGUAAGUCUGAUGUGAAAGCUCGGAGCUUAACUCCGAAAUGGCAUUGGAAACUACCUUGCUGGAGGGUUGGAGGGGGGACUGGAAUACUUGGUGUAGCAGUGAAAUGCGUAGAUAUCAAGUGGAACACCAGUGGCGAAGGCGAGUCCCUGGACAACUCCUGACACUGAGGCACGAAAGCUAGGGGAGCAAACGGG
rnacentral:rRNA from 1 species